rnacentral:rRNA from 1 species
AGAGUUUGAUCCUGGCUCAGAAUGAACGCUGGCGGCGUGCCUAACACAUGCAAGUCGGAUGUGCCGCAAGGUGCAUGGCAGACGGGUGAGUAACGCGUGGGGAACCUACCUCUUCGUGGGGAAUAACGAUCCGAAAGGAUUGGUAAUACCGCAUGAGACCGAUGGCUGGGAUGCUGUCGGUGAAAGCUGGGGACCGGAAACGGCCUGGCGCGAGGAGAGGGUCCUGCGUCUGAUUAGCUAGUUGGUGGGGUAACGGCCUACCAAGGCAUCGAUCAGUAGCCGGCCUGAGAGGGUGAUCGGCCACACUGGAACUGAGACACGGUCCAGACUCCUACGGGAGGCAGCAGUGGGGAAUUUUGCGCAAUGGACGAAAGUCUGACGCAGCAACGCCGCGUGGGUGAUGAAGGUCUUCGGAUUGUAAAACCCUGUCGUCGGGGACGAAGGUGGGGGGGUUAAUAGCCUCUUUGCUUGACGGUACCCGGAGAGGAAGCCCCGGCUAACUCUGUGCCAGCAGCCGCGGUAAUACAGAGGGGGCAAGCGUUAUUCGGAAUUAUUGGGCGUAAAGGGCGCGUAGGCGGUGAUUCAAGUUGGAUGUGUAAUCCCCGGGCUCAACCUGGGAACUGCAUCCAAGACUGGAUUGCUAGAGUGCUGGAGAGGGUGGUGGAAUUCCUCGUGUAGCGGUGAAAUGCGUAGAGAUGAGGAGGAACACCAGUGGCGAAGGCGGCCACCUGGACAGUAACUGACGCUGAGGCGCGAAAGUGUGGGGAGCAAACAGGAUUAGAUACCCUGGUAGUCCACGCUGUAAACGAUGAACA